GCAGGGUCUCUUUCUGGAGGUUGCUCCUUGUGGAGUUUACUGCAAGCUUACAGCAUUGGAUGAAUUCUGACUGGAUACUUGUGAGAACUUUGGUGGUGCCAUUCUGGGACUGUGUCCAACCUGCUCCUCACUGAGAACACUGAGAGAGGUUUCCACUGGAACCGAAGCCCUUAAAAGUCAGAAGUUUGGGGAGGAGAUGCUGCAUGCAGCAAGUGGUGGGACAUCCAGAGUCAGAGCCAUCAUCACAGGAUUGCCUACGGAGUUAUGUGCCACUUCCACAAUGUUUUAUGGAGAGAGAUACCAUAAAUCACAGCAGACUGAGUGACCCAUUAGAGGCCAUAACCAAUAAAGAGGAGGACUGACUACAAGGAGUAAAACUGGAAGGACUGAUAAUGCCAGAUGCCAGCUAGCACAGAGGAAAGAAUGCAGAUGGAGUGUGAAGAUGCAAUGAGGAGACCUGGGUGACCAGCACCCUCUUA